UACGAAGGGGGCUAGCGUUGCUCGGAAUUACUGGGCGUAAAGCGCACGUAGGCGGCUCUUUAAGUCGGGGGUGAAAUCCUGGAGCUCAACUCCAGAACUGCCUUCGAUACUGUAGAGCUUGAGUUCGGGAGAGGUGAGUGGAACUGCGAGUGUAGAGGUGAAAUUCGUAGAUAUUCGCAAGAACACCAGUGGCGAAGGCGGCUCACUGGCCCGAUACUGACGCUGAGGUGCGAAAGCGUGGGGAGCAAGCAGG
rnacentral:rRNA from 1 species